GAUGAACGCUGGCGGCGUGCCUAAUACAUGCAAGUCGAGCGAACGGACGAGAAGCUUGUUUCUCUGAUGUUAGCGGCGGACGGGUGAGUAAGAAGUGGAUCACCUACUUAUAUGACUGGGAUAAUUACGGGAGACAGGAGCUAAUACUGGCUAAUAUUUUGAACCGCAUGGUUCAAAAGUGAAAGACGGUUUUGCUGUCACUUAUAGCUGGAUCCGGGGUGCAUUGGCUAGUUGGUAAGGUAACGGCUUACCAAGGCAACGAUGCAUAGCCGACCUGAGAGGGUGAUCGGCCACACUGGAACUGAGACACGGUCCAGACUCCUACGGGAGGCAGCAGUAGGGAAUCUUCCACAAUGGGCGAAAGCCUGACGGAGCAACGCCGCGUGAGUGAUGAAGGUCUUCGGGUCGUAAAACUCUGUUAUUAGGGAAGAACAGAUGUAUAAGUAACUGUGCACAUCUUGACGGUACCUAAUCAAAAAGCCACGGCUAACUACGUG
rnacentral:rRNA from 1 species